UCUGAACAAUGAGAAAAGGCACUGGAGUAUAUCUAGGAUACUAGGAAAACAUACAGUUGCUUCUUACAAGACAGAUCUCAUUGUAAUGUUCAGCAGACAAAGCUCAGCCUCAUGAUGUCUCUGCAGUUAUCAGUUCCCCCAGAUGCUAAUACUUGUACCAUUAUUGCCUUUCUGCACAUAGGGAAGUGCUUGGCAAUUACUGAGAAGUGAUAUCACCUGUUUGUGAACCAGCUGACUGGACAUACAGCAGGUUUACCUCUGCAAAGUAGAGGACUGCAGGUGUUCAGAAGAAAGUUCAUUGUGAUAACUUCAGGACAGAGAGCUGUAACUAAGAAGUCCUGUAUCAGUCUUGUGACUUUCAUCUGAGCAAAGGAAUUUAUUUUAUUUUCUGGAUACCUAACCAAGUUUUAUAGAUUGUGAGAAAGAGCAAUUGUAGAUGUCUGGCGCCCUUCAGACAUUGAAGAACUGAACAAAGAGAAUUUUUGAGAGGUUGAGAGAGAGGGGAAGGAAUAUUAACAAAUUAGCUACAUUUACCUGGAAAUAGAUUUAGUCAGCUUUACUGUACUUAUCACAGGGAUCAUAUGCAACUCUGAUCAGGAUGAUAAGCAGGAGAGAUGACGUGCCUCCCACCUCCCCCAGCUAAACUCAGCUAGCAGAGGCGCUUCCUCUAUGCAACGCCCACUCUGAAGAAGGUCUGUAGCAAAACAGGAUGUCUACCAAAAACCCAUAAAUGAAGGCAUGGUGAAUUGGAAGCCAAAAAGAUUUUUUUUUUCCUUUGAUCAAUUUCUGAGACAUUCUGAUUAUUUUCCUACUUAAUUCAGAAAAGCUAUGCUGUAAGCAAAUCUAAUCAUAGGAAGGAGUUUGCUAUAGGAGUGCUGCUUAGUUGUGUGACA